GGCCUGGCAGUUCAAUGGUCGAAUAGCCGGAUUGUCGCUCCGGAGGUUGUGGGUUCGAACCCCAUCCAGGUCGCCA
rnacentral:tRNA from 1 species